rnacentral:rRNA from 1 species
GACGAACGCUGGCGGCGUGCUUAACACAUGCAAGUCGAACGGAAAGGCCCUGCUUUUGUGGGGUGCUCGAGUGGCGAACGGGUGAGUAACACGUGAGUAACCUGCCCUUGACUUUGGGAUAACUUCAGGAAACUGGGGCUAAUACCGGAUAGGAGCUCCUGCUGCAUGGUGGGGGUUGGAAAGUUUCGGCGGUUGGGGAUGGACUCGCGGCUUAUCAGCUUGUUGGUGGGGUAGUGGCUUACCAAGGCUUUGACGGGUAGCCGGCCUGAGAGGGUGACCGGCCACAGUGGGAUUGAGAGACGGCCCAGACGCCGACGGGAGGCAGCAGGGGGGAAGAUUGCAGAAUGGGCGGAAGUCGGAUGCAGCAACGCCGGGUGCGGGAUGACGGCCGUCGGGUGGUAAACAGCUUUCGCCUGGGACGAAGCGGGAGUGACGGUAAUGGGUAAAGAAGCACCGGCUAACUACGUG